GACGAACGCUGGCGGCGUGCUUCAUACAUGCAAGUCGAACGAGAAGCUGACGUCUGUCCGUGGAAAGUGGCGGACGGGGGUGUAAUAUGUAGGAAAUCUGCCUUUAGGAGGGGGACAACAGUGGGAAACUUCUGCUAAUACCCCAUAUGAGCGUAGCUGAGAUGCUAUUCUUGCAAACUCCGGUGCCUAAAGAUGAGCCUGCAUCUGAUUAGCUAGUUGUUAGUGUGAUGGACUACCAAGGCGACGAUCAGUAGCUGGUUUGCGAGGAUGAUCAGCCAAAAUGGGACUGAGACACGGCCCAUACACCUACGGGAGGCAGCAGUAGGGAAUUUUGCGCAAUGGGCGAAAGUCUGACGCAGCAACGCCGCGUGAACGAUUAAGCCCUUCGGGGUGUAAAGUUCUGUCAGUGGGGACGAAACUUGACGGUACCAACAGAGGAAGCACCGGCUAACUCCGUG
rnacentral:rRNA from 1 species